rnacentral:rRNA from 1 species
GGAGUCUGGGCCGUAUCUCAGUCCCAAUGUGGCCGUUCAACCUCUCAGUCCGGCUACUGAUCGUCGACUUGGUAGGCCGUUACCCCACCAACUAUCUAAUCAGACGCAAGCCCAUCUAUCAGCGGAUUGCUCCUUUCCCUUUUAUAUCAUGUGAUAUUCAAGGCAUAUGCGGUAUUAGCAGUCAUUUCUAACUGUUGUUCCCCUCUGAUAGGCAGGUUGCUUACGUGUUACUCACCAGUCCGCCACUAACCGCUCCAUUAGUAAACUAAAGGUUAAGUUCGUUCGACUUGCAUGUCUUAUGUGCGCCGCCAGCGUUUAUC